AUACGAAGGGGGCUAGCGUUGUUCGGAAUUACUGGGCGUAAAGCGCACGCAGGCGGUCUGUCAAGUCGGAUGUGAAAUCCCCGGGCUCAACCUGGGAACUGCAUUCGAAACUGGCAAGCUAGAGUCUUGUAGAGGGGGGUAGAAUUCCAGGUGUAGCGGUGAAAUGCGUAGAGAUCUGGAGGAAUACCGGUGGCGAAGGCGGCCCCCUGGACAAAGACUGACGCUCAGGUGCGAAAGCGUGGGGAGCAAACAGGAUUAGAUACCCUGGUAGUCUACGCCGUAAACGAUGUCGAUUUGGAGGUUGUGCCCUUGAGGCGUGGCUUCCGGAGCUAACGCGUUAAAUCGACCGCCUGGGGAGUACGGCCGCAAGGUUAAA
rnacentral:rRNA from 1 species